CAGGGGAAGUUCAGGUUGAAUAUAAGGAAGAAAUUCUGCCCUGUGAGGGUGCUGAGGCGCUGGCACAGGGUGCCCAGAGAAGCUGUGGCUGCCCCAUCCCUGGCAGUGUUCAAGGCCAGGUUGGACACAGGGGCUUGGAGCAACCUGGUCUGGUGUGAGGUGUCCCUGCCCAUGGCAGGGGGUUGGAUCUGGAUGAGCUUAAGGUCCUUUCCAACCCAAACCAUUCUGGGAUUCUAUGAAAAACAACUCGGAUGCAGUGUAUCUGUUGGAGGCAUGGCAAUAUCACACCUCUCUUUCAUCAUGGGGUUGCUCACCGAAAGCCUGUAGGGUGGAAAGAAGGCAGGAGGUGUUGAUCAGGAGCUGUGCAAGUGUGCAAGGAAGAAAGAUGUGCAAGGUUUCUUCUCUCUUGUCAGAGCAGACAGCUGCACAGCCUGAGAUAUCAUUUGUUGUAUACCUCCAACUGUUUAGCCUGAUGAGAAGUUGUUCUAUUUGCCUUAGAUAUCGUUAGUCCAGCUGAAGUUCCAAAGCAAAACAUGAGCUAAAUGAGAAAGAUUUACAAUAGGAACUCAUUCCUUUGUUAAGACCAAUGUAUUUAAUUUGUUAGGAAUACACAAGCUCACAUGAGGCUAAUUCGAUGUAUUUGUAAUGUUUUCUUCCCUAUGGACUGGUGGAAAUGACUGGAUGAAGUGUCUGCAAGGAUUAAAUUCUUAGGAUUCCUAUUUUUUUAAUUGAGAACAAAAUAAAAUAAAUGCAUGUUUUAUGUGUGUGCUAUCUGGAAAAAAAAUAAUGCAGAGAGAAAAAGAUGGACAAACAGCAGAAAUAAAUCAAGAUGAUAAAAUGAUCCAUGUUACCAGGCUACCUCCCUCUGCACCCACUGUUUUUCCUAUUAUUCUUAAUGGGCGCACCACUUGAGUGAACACUGCAGUAGUGUUGCUAUCAGAAAGUAGAGGAUCCAGUCACCAUGAGAAGUGUCCAUCUGACCUGUUGAUCCAAAGGGGACCUUCCCUCGUACACUUAGCUUACAGAGCCCUGUUUUUCUUUCCUUGAUGUGAAGAACAUAGCGUUGUUUCCACCUCGUGCAAGUCCUUCUAUGCACAGACAUGCUAAGAGAAUUGCUCUACAUGUGGAAUAAACCUCAGAGGAGCUGCCAUGCUAGGAAGGAUUUGAUCUUUUAAAUGAAGAUGUACUUAGGGACAGUGUUUCUUUUUUUUGGAUGAGAUCCAUUUAGACAGAGGGUUAACAAUUGCUGGAGGUUUUGCUGCCUUUCCAGUGCAUUGCGAGCAGGGAGCCUGUGCUUAAACUCAAGGUUGGGAUCUCUGUUUUGCUUCUCCUAGUUUCACUAGGGACGUGCUGUCUGUUUCCUGUAUUGCAUCAACAUAAGCAAGAAUCAUAGAACAGUUUGGAUUGGAAGGACCCUCCACAGGUCAUCUGGUCAAGAGAGUGCUGCUGCUGUCUGAAACAGGCAGCUUCAGUUAUUAAAGGGUUAUUAUUUGCAGUUCUUGCAGACACCUCUCAGCUGGCACACCAAAACUGGUACAACAUGGUUUGUGUCUUCCAACUUCUAACGGCACCAGCUUGAAUACAAACCCUGCAAACAGACAGUGCCACGCUCAGAAUAGUUUGCUACUUCACUUAAACAGCGUGAUAGAAGGGACAGAUAGAGAGGUUUGCUCGUAGGUCUCCUGUAAGUACCCUUGUAAGUGGAGCUUACUAUUAAGAAUCUGCUAAAAUGUGGAAUGUUUAAAACACAGGGAUGGAAUUGAACAGACAAGCAAGAAACCUAAAAGGCAAAUCUCAUCCAGAAUACAACAAACUGCAAUGUUUUCAGGGUAUGCUGAGCUCAGACUCAAUGUGCAAAGAGCACUUCUAAGCUAGGGAAGGUGCUUCCUUAGAUCACAGUAACCAUCGGCCUAGGGAUGUUCGCUUUGCAGGGAGAGGAUGGUCCAUGUUUUUGUGCUUUAAAGAGGCAUUUAAGGUUCAGUGAAGGGCACAGAUAUUACCUGAUCUACAGGGCUGAGCUUGGACCCAACUCCCUGAACCCUCUGGUUUCAGUGAGGAGGCAGCAGGGUUUCUCCUGUAAAGAACAGAGAGUGGAAAUGCAUUAUGCAGACUGUGAGUUGCUAUAAUACCUAACGUCGGUAACCCUGCUCCCAUAGCUGUGGCUGCUGCUAUGACUUUAAGUAACUGAUAAUUUUGAGUAACAAAAGGUGCACACAGUUUUCGCCCACAUCCAUGGGGAUUGCAUCUGAAUCAAAUCCAGGAGAGUCAAGCCCAGCACGAUGUGGAGCGAUGUGUCUGUACCCCAGCUGGUUUUAGAUGCCAACUUCAGAGACCAAAGUGUCUUCUUUCUUUGCUUUUGGACUGGCGGUGGAGCUUGCUUUGCUGGGGAUGAUUCUAAGCCUUUUGUAUUCAUUUGGAUUUAUUCCUAAAACCAGUUGGUAGCAGGGUCAGCACGAGAGCAGGUUAGUCACCAUAUAUAACCCUUCAUAUUAUUAGGGAGGGCAUAUUUACACUUAUAUGUAAGUACAUUUAUGCUUAUAUGUGCGUACAUCUGUACAAGAGGACUUACUGUGUAGAACUAUGUCAAAACAAAAGGGAGGAAAAGGAUGGUGAGAAACAAGUCCUACUGCAUAACACUGGUUUUCCUUCACUAUUUGGUGGAUCGUGUUCCCUGAGCACAGUGAAGCAGAAACCAGUGGCUUUACCUGUGUAAGAAAAACAAAGUCCCUGAAGCACAGAUGCUGAGCGAUCCAGCUCUUCAAAAACUAACCCAAGAACCAUUAUCUGUGCACGUAACUCCUGCUGAUGGCCAUGAGGACAGCCCCAGUGUAACUGUGUGGGUGAAAUAAGCAGAAUGCCUGAAGACACUGAGGAGCACAUUUCUAAUGGGGCAUUUCCAGGCAAAGGGUAUGACUCCCAUAGACAAAGCAGAGGAAUACUUUUGACUAAGCAGCACGUACAUGUUUUUCCUCAUUUUAUCCCAUCUUUAUCUCUGGAUUCCCUGGCUAAAUUCACCUUUCCAAGAUGACUAAGGCCCGCUCUGCCUCAGCAGUGUAUCAACAUCACUGUGGUCAGUGAAGCUCACCACUGAAGGAUGAUACCCAGCUCGUGAAGUGGCUGCUAAAAGCAUUUAAAGUCUUGCCUAAGAAGAAUGCAAUAAAACCAACAAAUAAUGCUAACAAGAAUUAAGCCUUCUGAUUUUCUACACCAUUUCCAGCUGGACCAGGGCACUGCACAUUAAGCUAAUGAGAGGUAAAAGCCAAAUUAGUCAGGUUUGAUGGAGCUUUCAUUGCCCAUUGAUGGCAGAGGCAAUUAUUCCUCAAUCUCUGUGAGCUUCAGUCCAUAGACUCACAUACCAGAGGAAGCUGAUCCAGUAAGGCUGGCCUGCAAAUCUGAUGUGCCCAACUCUUGUCCUUUUCUAAGAAAAUGACUGUAGAAGAGGGAGGAGGAAUGCAAAAUGAUGUCUGCUGCUCUAGCUCACCUCCAGCCUGAGUUCAUAGGUCUGCUUACGAACGCUUUCACAUUUAGCCCACAUUAGGACCAAAUACUUCUAUAUUCAACCUAUAUUAGGACCAAAUACCUUGAAUCCCGUGUUCAGUUCUGGCCCUCACUACAAGAGAGACAUUGAGGUGCUGGAGCGGGGCCAGAGAAGGGCAAUGGAGCUGGUGCAGGGCCUGGAGCACAAGUGUGAUGGGGAACGGCUGAGGGACCUGGGGGGUUCAGUGUGGAGAAGAGAAGGCUCAGGGGGACCUGAUCGCUGCCUACAACUGCCUGAGAGGAGGUUGUAGUGAGGUGGGGUCGGUCUCUGCUCCCAAGGAACAAGGGACAGGACAAGAGGAAACGGCCUCAAGCUGCACCAGGGCAGGUUUAGAUGGAGCUGAGGAACAAUUCCUUCCCCAGAGGGUGCUCAGGCAUUGGACCAGGCUGCCCAGGGCAGGGCUGCAGUCACCGUCCCUGCAAGUGUUCACACAGCGUGGAGACGAGGCCUCAGUGCCAUGGGUUAGUG